rnacentral:RNase_P_RNA from 1 species
AAGGAAAGUUAUUAAUUUAAUAAUUUAUGUAUAAUAUUUAAGUCUAAGUAAAGGUUUUCAAUAGAGAAUAUAAAUAAGUUAAUAAAUAUUGUUAUGGCGUAAGCACCGCUUCGCGGCUAAAUAUAAUAAAAUAACUUAUUUUGGAAAAUCAAGCUCAUCUAAAAAAUUUUUUUUAGUAAGAAAUUAUCACAAGAUAUAGCUUAA